AGCGAACGCUGGCGGCAGGCUUAACACAUGCAAGUCGAGCGGGCAUCUUCGGAUGUCAGCGGCAGACGGGUGCGUAACACGUGGGAACGUACCCUUCGGUUCGGAACAACUCUGGGAAACUGGAGCUAAUACCGGAUACGCCCUUAUGGGGAAAGGUUUACUGCCGAAGGAUCGGCCCGCGUCUGAUUAGCUAGUUGGUGGGGUAACGGCCUACCAAGGCGACGAUCAGUAGCUGGUCUGAGAGGAUGAUCAGCCACACUGGGACUGAGACACGGCCCAGACUCCUACGGGAAGCAGCAGUGGGGAAUAGUGGACAAUGGGCGCAAGCCUGAUCCAGCCAUGCCGCGUGAGUGAUGAAGGCCUUAGGGUUGUAAAGCUCUUUUGUCCGGGACGAUAAUGACGGUACCGGAAGAAUAAGCCCCGGCUAACUUCGUG
rnacentral:rRNA from 1 species